UUCCCUUCGCUCUCACAACUCACACAUCUCACAAAACUUCAUCAGACCUUCUCUCUCUCACUCGGCAACUCAAGAAUAUCAUGCCAGAUCUCUCUCCAGGUGCCGUUUCAUGACCAGAUCUGUGAGGAUUUCACCAGAUCGAUAAAGGUUUGCAACCCUUGGGGGACGGAAGAGAGUGAUGGUGGUGAUGAUCCGGUUACAGGCUUCUAUACGGUGUGACAGUGGUGGUCCUUAACAGCCACCAUACAUUGUUGACGGUUCCAUGGUUAAAAUGAGGAGAAAGACAACCUAGCCGUUUAUCGUUGAUGCUAAUUUGUAAAUUAGGACUUACAUUCAAGUUUUCUGCAUGAACAUUUGAGACAACUGGCUGGGAGAUCUGGAACCAAUGGAACUACAUCUAGGGUUGGUCGAUUUCUCAAGAAUGAAAGUGAAGAUGGACUGUGAAGGCUAUGAAAGGAGGGUCAAAAAGGUUGUGUGUUCUUUAGCAGAUUUUGAAUCUUGCACACAACAAAUCAGACAUUCAUGCCUUCAUUGACAAAAUUUUGUAGACAGCGGGUUAAGGUCACUUGCUAUAGCAUACUACCAGAUGGGAAGUUCUGUAGAGACCUAAAGAGACCCUUGGAAGACUGUGGCAGUUUUUGGCUAAUGUCGCUAUGUCAUCCGCCACGUCAUGAUAGUGCUGACACGAUUCAAAGGGGGUUUGAAUCUUGGGUAAAAGUUAAAAUGAUUAUAUGCCACUGGAUGUCGAUUUAGCAAAGAGGAGUCUGUUUUGAGAAGUGAAAGAUCUGUUUUGCCUUCAUGCAAGCUUUUUUCUUGCAGGGAUGUUAGGUGAUUCAUGCUUAAAUUAAUUGGCUUGGAUGUUGUUGGGAGUUGUAGAGGAAUUUGGUAUUCCAAAAUUUGAGGAUGAUAACCUGCUUGGCGGUUUGGGAAUAGAAUGUUUGACGGGUUUUCUCAUUUUGGCUUUCUUAUAAGGGCGUUGAAGAGCCGUAAAGCACGAUCUUGACACUAUGGGGCUGGUUAGUGGAUCAUUCCAUCUUCUGAAGAUGACCAAAAGGCGAAGUUAUAUCUCAAAACCUUUACACAAUUCAAAGAAAGGGAGAUGUACGACAAAGCACGGGUCAGAGCGGUUGUAGGCAGAACAUAUCCAACAAUCAGAGUGGAUACAACCUGGUUAAGAAACAAGGCUUGAAGGUAGUGGUUUUGUUUUGGACUUUGUAUUUUACAGAUUGAUUUUUGAUAUUGUGUUUUGAACAAUGUACGAACAUUUCGGUUAACUUUUUUGAUUGAUUGAUUUUCGGUUAA